UAAAUCCAUACAACACUCAUUCCAUUGAAUAUAGACAUCUGGGAUAUCUUAGGAUUAAAAAAAAAAACAAGAAAAAUACCAUGCAUUAGAAGUCCAAAAACAGCAAGGUUUAUAUCUCUGCCUUUUCUAACGUUAUUAGAUGAAUGGCUUCAUGAACAGAAACUGACUAUAACACUAUAGACCCACCCAAAAACUUCCAGGAAAAAUUCCAUCCAACUUCAAAGCAGUUUCACUUCCUAUGCUUUGUUUAAGAAUGUCUGAUCCACUGAGUGUUUUGUUCUCAAGGUUUUGAAUCUGUACAGAUUUAGGCGUCUGCUACUCUGGACUGGAUCUUUCCUGGUUGAGGUAGGCCCAGGUAGGAACAGAGGUAAGUCCGGGCCAGAAGGGAGAAAUGUCCUAAUUCCCAGGAAGGGUGGUUCAUAUGAUAUCCUCAGUGUGGCCCUGGGAGCUGGCAAGUGUUGCCUUGAUGGAUGUCAGUGCAUUUACGCCUGCCUUUGUUUUUCCCCUUCAAAAUCUCCUGGUAGGAUUUUUGUUCCCCACAUGCAGCAAGGAGAGAAUUGGCGUUCCUAAAUCCGGCAAAGAAAUGAAGCGAAAGGGCAGCCGACCAAUAAGGAGAAUUCACGCAAUUGUGGCUGCAGUCGGAGGCAUGGCCACUGCCCCUAUGGCCCUUUAUUGCAGCGGCGGGGAAACAGAGGCAGUCUGCACCCCAACUUUCGAGGACCCAAGGCCUCCAGCCAAGCCUGCUGUAACUUCGUCCUGGACACCCAACACCCGGAGAGAAACCAUACUGAAGCACUCCUGCCCCCACCCUAAGGACCCCAGCCCUCCAGCCAAGCCAGCUCUAACUUUUUCCUGGACUCUCAACACCCCGAGGCAAACCAUCCUGAAGCAUGCCUGACUCCACCCCAACCCCACACAACUCCAUACCCAAGCCAAAAAAAAUUUCAAAUGCCCACUUCACUCCAAGGAUCCGGGAGAUGAGGAGAAACCAGAGGAGGAAGGACGAGACUCAAACAUCCCGCCCACCCCUGCACCAACCAAACCGGGAGCCUUCACUAUGCUGGCCAGGGAGAUGAGUGCGACAGUGGUGACAGGCCAAAUGCUGCCUUUCAGAUACUUCAGACACCAGAUACCUUUCAGGACCGAGAGCUACUCCCAAGGGGAAGAGGACAGGGGAGGAGUGAUUGGAGAUCCCAGGACUCCCCGAGAGAAGUUGGGAGGCGACCUGUGCAUCAGGGAAGGAAAACCAAAUAUAAGUAUCUCCUCAUAUCUUAACCAAAAAAAAACUUGGAAACAUUUACUGUUCAUAUCAAAUGACCUGAACUCUGAGAAGCCUCUCUCAUCUUUUUAUAUUCAAGAUGAAAAAGUAUUUGGACUUUUCGUCACAAUAUAUCUCCCCAAUCCAUUUUCAGGGGAAUGAACUCUGCUGGUUAGGAUGUUGCUUUUGCUUCUUAAAAUUCAAUCAGAGGACAGAUAGGAGAGACUGGGAGCCUUUACAUAGGAAGAAAUAAUAAGGAAACUAAAAGAGAGAUUAAAUACAUAGUACUGUUAGGCUAUUUAAAAGUAGAUGCAAAAACUGAACCUUACUGUAAAUUUCCAAGGGAAAUUUACCUCAUGUCUCCUUAAAAACAAAGAAUGUAAUGUCUUAGGACGAGGCUCCCUGAUUUAGAACUGUUCACUCUCCUGACUAUUGGAAUUGGGUUGAUAUUCCAUAUGAGGUUUGGAUUUAACUUAAGAAGAGAGACAAGAAAAUUAUUGCGCAUCCUCCAGCCAUGUGAUUCUGAAGGAGAUCUGAAAAAGAAUUGCUGCUGCGCCUUGUAAAAACGGUGGUAUAGUCUGUGCUCGUAGGCUCAAACCCACGUUGAUGUUUUUCAGAGACUUAACCUGCCUACUUCUGGGAGCGGCCCAUCCGGCAAGCAUGCAGCCAGGCAGAGCUGCGAUCUCAGACAUCAGCAGAAGCCGAGUCGACGGACUGCCUCCUGAAUUCCAAACCUCCAAUUGGCUCAGCUUCUCCCAGAAUAUCAGGGGAAUGAAGACGGUGGUGAAAGAAGACCCUCGCUCCGGCUCACGCGUCAAGGGUUGGAAAAAGGCAAAACCCUUUGAGGCCCUGAACCAGUCCCCAGCACUGUAAACUAAGUGUUUGUGGCCAGGAAGACAGAGGUUUUGAAUCUGUACAUGUCUUGGGGACUGCUACUCUGGACUGGAUCCAUCCUGGAUGAGAUAGACCCUGCUAGGAGCCGAG